UCAUUUUAAGAAAAUUGAAGCCCUAUAUCGAAAUUCCGUUUCCGCCAGUCACUAUAAAUUAACUUUCUCUUUCAAGUGCAACAAACUUCAUUAAAAUCGGCCCAGUGGUUAUCUCAUAAAAGUGUUUCUGCGUAUUACAUGUAUUUGCAUAGACGGCAUCGGA
rnacentral:lncRNA from 1 species